UAGCUGGUCUGAGAGGGAUGACCAGCCACACUGGAACUGAGACACGGUCCAGANUCCUACGGGAGGCAGCAGUGGGGAAUAUUGCACAAUGGGCGCAAGCCUGAUGCAGCCAUGCCGCGUGUAUGAAGAAGGCCUUCGGGUUGUAAAGUACUUUCAGCGGGGAGGAAGGCGAUGUGGUUAAUAACCGCAUNGAUUGACGUUACCCGCAGAAGAAUCACCGGCUAACUCCGUGCCAGCAGCCGCGGUAAUACGGAGGGUGCAAGCGUUAAUCGGAAUUACUGGGCGUAAAGCGCACGCAGGCGGUCUGUUAAGUCAGAUGUGAAAUCCCCGGGCUUAACCUGGGAACGGCAUUUGAAACUGGCAGGCUUGAGUCUCGUAGAGGGGGGUAGAAUUCCAGGUGUAGCGGUGAAAUGCGUAGAG
rnacentral:rRNA from 1 species